GGGGGCUGUGGCUCAGUGAUAUAGCAUCUGUUUGGCAUGCAGAAGGUCCCUGGUUCAAGCCCAGCUAUCUCCA
rnacentral:tRNA from 1 species